rnacentral:rRNA from 1 species
UACCCGUCUUGAAACACGGACCAAGGAGUCUAACAUGCGCGCGAGUCGUUGGGUCGGACACGCUCCGCUAAACCCAUAGGCGCAAUGAAAGUGAAGGUUUCCCUUCGCGGGACCGAGGGAGGACGGAGGCGCGGGGUUCACCCGUGCGCCUCCCGCACUCCCGGGGCGUCUGAUUCCUCUUCUUGAGGGAAGGCGCACCCAGAGCGCACACGUUGGGACCCGAAAGAUGGUGAACUAUA